UACAGAGGUGGCAAGCGUUGUUCGGAAUUACUGGGCGUAAAGGGCGCGUAGGCGGUUCGGUAAGUCCUGUGUGAAAUCCCUCGGCUCAACUGAGGAACUGCACGGGAGACUGCCGGGCUUGAGUUCGGGAGAGGGAAGCGGAAUUCCGGGUGUAGCGGUGAAAUGCGUAGAUAUCUGGAGGAACACCGGUGGCGAAGGCGGCAUCCUGGACCGGUAUUGACGCUGAGGCGCGAAAGCCAGGGGAGCAAACGGG
rnacentral:rRNA from 1 species